rnacentral:misc_RNA from 1 species
UCAAACUUGGUCAUUUAGAGGAAGUAAAAGUCGUAACAAGGUUUCCGUAGGUGAACCUGCGGAAGGAUCAUUACCAAGGUUUUUCGAAAGAUGUCGCCUCCCUCUCUCUCAAAGGGAGGAGGCGGCAUUGAUAAACCAUGAUACACCACUGUGUGCACUUAUUUGAACUAGAAAUUUUUGGGAGAGAGGAAGGGAGAGAAAUUUCUCUCCUCUCGCCAAAAAAUUAGUUCACAAAACUUUUUUCUACGCUUUACUGUUUGUCUGAACUAUUUAUUAUAUAUAUAAUACAACUUUCAACAACGGAUCUCUUGGCUCUCGCAUCGAUGAAGAACGCAGC